GGGAGGUCCAGGGUCUCCAGCCAGCACCUCCGCUACGAAACCCAGGCGGCUAGAGGAGAAGGCAGGCGACGCACGUGCAUCCACACCCACAAGUGAAAACCUGUUGGGAGACAGGGCCCUGAUGUUGUCCGGCUGCUGCAACCAGUGUGGAAAAAUCCCUCGAGAGCCCAGGGUCAGAGAAAAGGGAAGAAGGAAGAUUAGCAGGAAGAAAGGGAAUAGAGAAAAGGAAAAGGAAAGAAGCCCGGAGCCAGAGGGGAGGGCCUGCUCCCAGACCCUGAGGAGGAGGUAGGGUGAAGAGAAGCAUCAAAGCAGAAACUGAGGUCGACAGGUGUGGUUAGAUGACUUGCCUGGGGCUAGACAGCUAGCAGAGUUGGGAUCUGAACCCAGGUCCUCUGAAUCCAACCACUAUUACCAUGCUGCCCCUCAGUUCUUCCUAUCACUUGAGCAGCUCCUGAGAGUCUAUCCCCUCCCCUCAAGGAAACCUUUCCAGGCUACAACUGGCCCAGGAACUCCCCUCAAAUCCUACUCAUAUCAAAUACCUGUUCAUAUCAAUGACAUAAAUACUGCUGCUUUCUUCUGAGACUUGUUUCUUGGUCUAAUCUAAUAGUUAAUCACAAAACAAUGGCACUGAACCAUCGCUGCAUCAGCACCCAACCCCCAUUCACCUGCUGAUGUUGAUAAUGUGUCCAUCAUCCACACUCCUCUCCCUCAUGGACUGGUAUGCCUCCCGGGUACAGAUACUGACGGCCAACACAUUCACCUGCAGGCAAGGAUCGAGGAUGGGGAGCUGAGAAGUCCAACAAGGAAUAUUUUUGGGUUGAACCAGUCCAAGCUAAAACUGAAUGAGUCUGAGAGUGCUGAGGGGGAAGGAGUAGGGGACUGAGAUGACUAUGUGUACUUUUAGUAAUUUUUUUUUCUUCUCAAGACUGUUUAAAGCCAUUGGAGCUGGAGGAUAAGGGAGAAGGAGAUUUACUUUCUCUUGCAUUUUUUUCUUAAAAGUCAGAUGUGGUAUUUUAACCAAGGCCUGUUAAAAUUCCUAAUCUCUUUCCAUGUAGCCUCACAGCAUUCUUCUCCCACCCCUCCAUUACAUGUAUUUUUUACAAAAAAGCUAACAAGCAAGCAAACUGGGUGAUGACUUGCAAAUGAAGACCUGAAAUGUUUGCUAUCAUGUCCUGCCCUAACCCCUUCUCAAGCUGCUACUCAUCUCCGGAAAAAGAAAGGUCCGUGUUCCAUCAACAAGGGAUCUGCCUCAAUCCCACACUGCAUGGAAGAGCAGGACAACUGCAAAGGCAGCAAAAGAUUGGCUCCUUUUUGUCUCCUUCUGAAGUAGUGUCUUAUUGGUGAUGAAGAGGACAGCAAGAACCAUACUAGUACCAAAGUCUUGGGGGCCAAGGAACCAGGAAACUUCCCUGCCGCAACUACCCAGGGACCUCUACGAAUGGGUUUGCCCAGAUCUGCUAUAAACAGCACAUUUUAGCUUCCAAUCUAUAUAUUAUAGCCUCCACACUGGGGCAUCUCCUACUAAAUGCCUUGCUCUCAGAAUUUUUGGUGGCACUAGCCCUGUGCUUCAUUUCCAAACAAUUCACCUGGCAUCAGAAUGAGGAACUCAUGAUAAACUUAGCCUAAAAAUAUCUUCCCCCAGUAUCCUCCUCCUUUCCCUCUGGCCCCAACUUUCCAUACUUCCUACUAUCAUUUUCCUUAAAGAAAUUCCUGGGACAUGGAAAAGAUAGGUUAGGUGGGGAUCCCAGUUAACAAUCCCAAAGGGUUUACCCACCCACACAUAGAAGAGACAUGAAAUGGCAGCCUCGUCUUCUUUUUGGCUCCUUCUCCAGCCUAUCUACAUGCUAUCCCACCAACCCCAUGCUCCUGGCCUAACAAGAAGUUGAACUAGCUUGGUGGGGGAGCCCCAAGAGGCCCAAGGAAUUACCUUUCUGGGCCCCAACAAACCCACAUGCCUCUGACCUUACUUGUCCUAGCGAAGUGGGGCACUUCCAGAAUCUCCACUCUCCAAAGAAAAUGGCAGGUGAGGAAUUGGCCCUGCUGUGACCCCACCGUGGCCCCACCAGGCUCACUGCCCAUGGAUAGAGAUAAGCCUUUCACCAGUUCCUCACAUCUCUCCUUUCAGGGAGAGAGGCAACUGGGUAGGAGGAGAUUAGAUGUUUCUCCUUAUCAGGUGUCAGACCUAAACCUCAGGAACAGAACACCCGUAGUGUGGACCUGCUUCAGCUCCCAGUGAUGUCAGCAGAUGAGGCAUAUACAGGGAAAGGGGGUGAGGUGCUUUGCCCAUCUGAGACUUCGUACCACUGUGCUUUGUACUGGGCAAACGUGAAAAUAAAACAAAACACCAGAAAGUAAACCCCAGAUCUAAGCAAAGAAUAAUUUCUGAGCAGGCCAAACAGAAUCCAAGGGAAAAAAAUGUUUUUUAAUAAUAGUAAUAAUAAUCACUAGAUCAGGGACAAAAAGAUCUCCUAUCCCAGAGGGAGAUGGUAAAGACAGGUUGACAUCAGAAAAGUCGAGGAGGGAGGUUGGGCAGGAGAGGAAUCACAAGACAAUAGGAUCCACCCAGAAUCACACAGGGCUGGGUCAGAGAAAGUCAAAUCUAGAAGCUGUAUCACCUAACUCCCAGGACUGUGCUCUUUCCACUAUACCAAAA